UACGUAGGGGGCAAGCGUUGUCCGGAAUCAUUGGGCGUAAAGCGCGUGUAGGCGGUUCGAUUAGUCUGCUGUGAAAGUCGGGGGCUCAACCCUCGAAAGCCGGUGGAUACUGUCGGGCUAGAGUGCGGAAGAGGCGAGUGGAAUUCCUGGUGUAGCGGUGAAAUGCGCAGAUAUCAGGAGGAACACCGAUGGCGAAGGCAGGUCUCUGGGCUGACUCUGACGCUCAUGCACGAAAGCGUGGGGAGCAAACAGG
rnacentral:rRNA from 1 species